UACGUAGGGGGGCAAGCGUUGUCCGGAUUUAUUGGGCGUAAAGAGCGUGUAGGCGGCCAGACAGGUCAGCUGUGAAAACUCGAGGCUCAACCUCGAGACGUCGGUUGAAACCGUCUGGCUAGAGUCCGGAAGAGGAGAGUGGAAUUCCCGGUGUAGCGGUGAAAUGCGUAGAUAUUGGGAGGAACACCAGUGGCGAAGGCGGCUCACUGGACCGGUACUGGACGCUGAAGCGCGAAAGCGUGGGGGAGCAAACAGGG
rnacentral:rRNA from 1 species